rnacentral:snRNA from 1 species
GUGAUCACUUUGCAGCAUGAACACUGAAACUGGAGCAAUGCAGAGAAGUUAGCAUGGCCCUGCACAAGGAUGACUCACAAAUUUACGAAGUAUUCCACAAUUGU